rnacentral:misc_RNA from 1 species
GUAUAGAUUUAAAGGCAGUUAAGCCCAUUAAUGACAUUCUAAAACAUGUGUAGGGGUAUAUAAAAACAUAGACUGGAAGUGUAAGGAAAGCUGGCUCGCGCACAACAGUCCUCAAAACCGAGUUUCCUCGAAAGGUAUCCAGAUCUACAAAUGGUGCACAGGUGAUAAGAGAUUGGCGGUAGGCGUGCACAUGCCCCUAAAGGCCAGCUACAACCCAACCCAAGCUUAAUUCAAUAAUGAUCCUUCCGCAGGUUCACCUACGGAAA